rnacentral:rRNA from 1 species
CUGCGCUGCCUACCAUGCAAGUCGAACGAGGGCUUCGGCCUUAGUGGCGCACGGGUGAGUAACACGUGGGAACCUGCCUUUCGGUUCGGGAUAACGUCUGGAAACGGACGCUAACACCGGAUACGCCCUAUGGGGGAAAGUUUACGCCGAGAGAGGGGCCCGCGUCCGAUUAGGUAGUUGGUGGGGUAAUGGCCCACCAAGCCGACGAUCGGUAGCUGGUCUGAGAGGAUGAUCAGCCACACUGGGACUGAGACACGGCCCAGACUCCUACGGGAGGCAGCAGUGGGGAAUAUUGGACAAUGGGGGCAACCCUGAUCCAGCAAUGCCGCGUGAGUGAUGAAGGCCUUAGGGUUGUAAAGCUCUUUCGCACGCGACGAUGAUGACGGUAGCGUGAGAAGAAGCCCCGGCUAACUUCGUGCCAGCAGCCGCGGUAAUACGAAGGGGGCGAGCGUUGUUCGGAAUUACUGGGCGUAAAGGGCGCGUAGGCGGCCUGUUUAGUCAGAAGUGAAAGCCCCGGGCUUAACCUGGGAACGGCUUUUGAUACUGGCAGGCUUGAGUGCAGGAGAGGAAAGUGGAAUUCCCAGUGUAGCGGUGAAAUGCGUAGAUAUUGGGAGGAACACCAGUGGCGAAGGCGACUUUCUGGACUGUGUCUGACGCUGAGGCGCGAAAGCCAGGGGAGUGAACGGGAUUAGAUACCCCGGUAAUCCUGGCCGUAAACGAUGGGUACUAGGUGUAGGAGGUAUCGACCCCUUCUGUGCCGGAGUUAACGCAAUAAGUACCCCGCCUGGGGAGUACGCCGCAAGGUUGAAACUCAAGGAUU